rnacentral:rRNA from 1 species
UACGAAGGUGGCAAGCGUUGUUCGGAUUUACUGGGCGUACAGGGAGCGUAGGCGGUUGGGUAAGCCCUCCGUGAAAUCUCCGGGCCUAACCCGGAAAGUGCGGAGGGGACUGCUCGGCUAGAGGAUGGGAGAGGAGCGCGGAAUUCCCGGUGUAGCGGUGAAAUGCGUAGAGAUCGGGAGGAAGGCCGGUGGCGAAGGCGGCGCUCUGGAACAUUUCUGACGCUGAGGCUCGAAUGCGUGGGGAGCAAACAGG